rnacentral:rRNA from 1 species
AACGCGAGGUGCGAACGUUGUCCGGAAUCACUGGGCGUAAAGGGUACGCAGGCGGUGGAGAAAGUCGGGUGUGAAAGCCUCAGGCUUAACCUGAGGGGGACGCUCGAUACUUCUCCACUUGAGGAAGGGAGAGGGAGGUGGAAUUCCCGGUGUAGCGGUGAAAUGCGCAGAUAUCGGGAGGAACACCAGUGGCGAAGGCGGCCUCCUAUCCCGUUCCUGACGCCCAGGUACGAAAGCUAGGGGAGCGAACCGG